GUCAGCAGCCAUAUCACCCUGCAACUCACAACUGGCAACCCACUGAAGCUAACCAGGUGUGAGCCUGGUCAGCACCUGGAUGGGAGACCUCCUGGGAAAAACUAAGGUUGCUGCUGGAA
ensembl:rRNA 5S_rRNA 5S ribosomal RNA